rnacentral:rRNA from 1 species
AUGGGUGACCUGAAUGAUAUUCUGUAUGAUACUGAUAUAUAUAGUGGUAGUGUGAAUUACUAUCGUAUGUCUGCUUUCCGUUCCCUGAUAAGAAAUUGCGGUUUCUUUGAUAUUAGUUAUAGUGGGCCUUCUUAUACUUGGCGCAAUAGGCAGCACACAACCAAUCCCAUUUAUCAACGCUUAGAUCAAUGCCUAGUCAAUGCUGAUUGGUGUGCUUGCUAUCCUAAUUCCAAAAUCCUAAAUUUGCCCAUUAUCCUUAGUGACCAUGCUCCCAUUCUUAUUUCCACUGAUGGUAAUUUUCCUAAACCUAGGCAAACUUUCAAAUUUGAAAAUUGGUGGCUACUUGAGAAAGAUUUCAAUGCUUUUGCAAAAAAUGCCUGGAAUAGUGCUAGGACUUCUUCUUUUUCUGCAAAAAUCCUCUUCCCUUGCAGGAUCUUUGAAGAAGUUGUGCAAAAAUAA